rnacentral:rRNA from 1 species
AUUGAACGCUGGCGGCAGGCCUAACACAUGCAAGUCGAACGGUAACAGGAAGAAGCUUGCUUCUUUGCUGACGAGUGGCGGACGGGUGAGUCAUGUCUGGGAAACUGCCUGAUGGAGGGGGAUAACUACUGGAAACGGUAGCUACUACCGCAUAACGUCGCAAGCCCAAAGAGGGGGACCUUCGGGCCUCUUGCCAUCGUAUGCUCCCAGAUGGGAUUAGCUAGUAGGUGGGGUAACGGCUCACCUAGGCGACGAUCCCUAGCUGGUCUGAAAGGAUGACCAGCCACACUGGAACUGAGACACGGUCCAGACUCCUACGGGAGGCAGCAGUGGGGAAUAUUGCACAAUGGGCGCAAGCCUGAUGCAGCCAUGCCGCGUGUAUGAAGAAGGCCUUCGGGUUGUAAAGUACUUUCAGCGGGGAGGAAGGGAGUAAAGUUAAUACCUUUACUCAUUGACGUUACCCGCAGAAGAAGCACCGGCUAACUCCGUG